UGGCAAGUCGCGACAACGGAUACCACUCCACUCUCAACAACAAACUCUACGUGGUCCUGAACGACCCCCUGAUGCCACUACUCUCCGUAACAAACUCCGCGCAGUCCCGAAUAGCCCACUACCAGGUGGUUACAGACAUCGCUGUCAAUCAGUUACGCUCUCUGUCUAUAAAAGGGGACCCCCAGAUACAUUCUUCUCUAAGCUCUAAACUCUAUCUCGAAACUCUACUAAAAUUUCAUUCGAGUGCUCCAUUUCUAUUGAGGUAGAGUAUUGACUUGAACGUCGGAGGGUCUUGCCGGAGCACCCCCAACUCUGGUUUAGACUUCUCUUGUAGGUCCCG
rnacentral:lncRNA from 1 species